UUACCGUCAUCAUCUUCAUCAGUGAAAGAGUUUUACAACCCUAAGGCCUUCUUCACUCACGCGGCAUUGCUGGAUCAGGGUUUCGCCCAUUGUGCAAUAUUCCCCA
rnacentral:rRNA from 1 species